ACGAACGCUGGCGGCGUGCUUAACACAUGCAAGUCGAACGAGAAGAGAUGAGAAGCUUGCUUCUUAUCGAUUCGAGUGGCAAACGGGUGAGUAACGCGUAAGCAACCUGCCCUUCAGAUGGGGACAACAGCUGGAAACGGCUGCUAAUACCGAAUACGUUCUUUUUGUCGCAUGGCAGAGGGAAGAAAGGGAGGCUCUUCGGAGCUUUCGCUGAAGGAGGGGCUUGCGUCUGAUUAGCUAGUUGGAGGGGUAACGGCCCACCAAGGCGACGAUCAGUAGCCGGUCUGAGAGGAUGAACGGCCACAUUGGGACUGAGACACGGCCCAGACUCCUACGGGAGGCAGCAGUGGGGAAUCUUCCGCAAUGGACGAAAGUCUGACGGAGCAACGCCGCGUGAACGAUGACGGCCUUCGGGUUGUAAAGUUCUGUUAUACGGGACGAAUGGCGUAGCGGUCAAUACCCGUUACGAGUGACGGUACCGUAAGAGAAAGCCACGGCUAACUACGUG
rnacentral:rRNA from 1 species